UUCCCACAUGACCAGAGCUCCCUGGGCUCAUUUAAAAGCUAGUCUCCAAAGAGUGGAUAUCUUCUGGAUGAGAGCCUCUUCUUGAGAAGGAGUGUUUUACAGCUGCUGACUCUCUUUGCUACUUGGCUCCUCCCAAGAUCAAGCCCUGAGCAAAUGAUAAAGCCCAUCAGUCUCUGCGGUGGAUGUACAAAGGUUUAUGCUGCACAAUUCACAUGGAAGAGGAGAGAAGAUGAACAUGAUGCACCAUAAAAGUUGUGAACUGAAAAUGAAAACAAGACAGAAUAGAAGAGUCUGAAUUGAAGAAAACCCAGAGAUCAAUACCAUAGCGUGAUAUAACCGUGUUCAUAGAAAUAAAAACUCUUGGAACAGAAAUUAUUUAUUACUCCAGAGCAGCAUAAUUUAAAUAUGUGAAAAUAGAGCAACAUUGAAGGGGAAGAUUAGAGCCAAAUUAUGUGUCCAGAUCUGUUUAGGGGAGAAUAUUUUUGUUCCCCAGGCUGGUUGGCCAUAACUUGACAAGAUCAGGUUUGAUGAAGGUUUGUAAGGUAUCAAAAGUGAUACUAAGAGAUGUUUGUCAUGUACUUUCUGUACGUCUUAAUUUUUCUUUCUCACCUCUGGCUAUCUACAGUAACUCCCUUGAAGUUUAGGAAUACAACAUUUCCCUGCUGAGAUUAUCCUCUCCCAGACAGUACAUACAAUUUAUCCUGUUUUACCUCAUCCCUGCUAUGUCUCAUUCAUUACAUCAGAGCCUAGACUGUCUCUAACUUUUUGUUUCUUCCUUUCGAAUGCAGGACUAUUACUGAAGACGUCAGCGGAGACACAGCAAGAUAUGGAAAAAGCCCAACAGAGUAGAAUAUCCCCAAAUGGGAGAACAGCGAAAAGCAGGAAGUUAUUCUCAGAAAAAAUGCUUUGUUCAUUCAGAGAACUGUGCUGCAUUAUUGGUUUUGUCAUGGACUUUGUUGGCUCUUGACCACCUAAUCAUUUAGUGCCUCUACUUCCUCCUUAAAGUAGGAUUAUUCUUAGUAAUGGUGGUUAUUUAUAGCAGUGCUGGAGUCUGAAAAGAGUAAUUUUUUCUGCUACUGCAACUGAAGAUUCUACACAGAGGGCUACUACCUUCCUUUCUGGUUUUCAACUGGCGCUCCCAUCUCCUUCAUAAAAGAAGGAUGUGAACAGAAGAGACUAGAGAUAUUUGAAUGGCAUCAAGAGCAACUUUCUGUAGAAUUUUUGAGUUCCUAAAUGAUUUGAUACAGGCUGCAAACACAGGCCUUUCAGGAUCGUUGUCAGCAAACACCAACAAGACAGAGACUUAAUUGUAUAUUCACCCACAGAAAAUUAGUUUGAAGAUUCUGUGUCCUUUCAUCUGGUGAAGGCAUGGUCAGUGUUUAAGAAAGACAAACCCUUGCACUUUGCCUGGAGUAGGUGCCUGGUGAAGAGUAUAUGAAGCUUAAAGACACCAAUUGGAAGAGGUCAGACACGCUCCAUGUUGGCUGAGUCUUGGGCAUUUCACGGUGUCAGAAUUCUGGCUCAAGCGAAGUUCUGGUUGUGUUUUGUUAAGUUGAAGACACAGUUGUCUCAGAAUACGUUGUGUUGUUACAUACUUGAGAACUGAAAAUCCUGGUUGGAUUCAGACCUGAUCUAGACAAGCAGCUCCUCUCUUCAGAAAGACCUAAAUCCAGACACUUGAUCUAAACAUGCCUGACCUGGAAAAAAGUUUACAUGCUCAUGCGGACAUGGAUGUGUGCUCAUAGCUUUCCUAGUGUGCAGAAGAUGUGUGGGAGAACAAAGAAAAGAACGUAUCAGUCCUGCAUUUCACAGCUGAGGAAAUCCAAAUCUGAAGUCUGAAGAAUAUUAUUGAUGUGACACAUCAGACAAAUCAUAAACAUUUUCUACCCUUUACUUCCUAACUUUAUCUCAUCUUAAUGAGGACUUAAGUGAUUUUUUUACAGUGCUAAAGGAUUGGAAUUU
ensembl:lncRNA